ACCCAAAAUCCAAAACCCUCACUCCUCACCCUCGACAGCGCCCCGCGCCUCAGUCUCUAUCGACACAAACCCAAAACCAAAACCCUCACUCUCUCUUCGACAAAGCUCUCUCUCUCCUCGACAAACCCUAUCUCUUCUUUGACAAACCCCACCAAAGAGCUCUCUCUCUUAGACAAGCCUCGACCACAUGGGUUAUUCGAUCUGGGAAAUAGCGAAGGCCUUCAUCGACGACCACUCCGAGCUCACCGCUGACCUCUACACCCAGGCCAUCGUCAUCGACCCCAACAACUCUGAGCUCUACUCCGACCGCACUAGGCCAACAUCAAAUCCAACAAUCUCACUAGUAAAAACCCCUCCUCUCUCUCUCUCUCUUGCAAUUUCCGAAGCCUGUUCUUCGUCGUCUUCUUGUUUUGUUUCUGAGACCUAAAAUUGAAGAAAUUGAACCAGAGAUAGGAGACCUCAGAUUGCCAGGGCUUUGAAGUUUUCUCAAUUAGAUAGUUGCUUCUCACCUUGUUUACGUUUUCAUGGUGUUCUUCUCUCCUAUUUGUGAUUCUUCGUCACCAUUCUCUUCUGGAUUGUCAAGUUCCUGAAUUUCCUCAUCUGGGUCUCAUUCAAUUUAUUCUGUUCUUCAAUCUUCUGGGCCGGUUCAAACUCUGACUAACCGCAAAGAGGAGUUCCUUAAAUUGCUUGAAUCGUAUAAGCCGAGUCUUGUAUACUUGCAAGGAGAGCAGCUUGAAAAUGAUGAAGUUGGUUCUUGUGUCUGGAGAGAUGCUGAUUUGCCAACUGCUGAAUCUAUAUCCAACAUCUUUCCACAUUGCCUACAAUUAUCAUAAAAGCAUAAAAUUGGAAUGCUACUUUAGAAGAAAUGAGGAUAGUAACCCUAGUGUCCCCCCAUUAUUGUCUCAUAUGGUUAAAAUAAAACCAGUGUGAUUAUUUGUGCAGAAGAAGAGAAUCUGAACGAAGUCUGGAAGAAAGAGGUGGAAACAGUCUUUGAAUCUCAUGGCCUUUCAUGCGAAUUGAACUGGGAUGAGUGUAAGAUGACUGUUACUGCAACAGAACGUACCCUGUUUACAGGGGUGCACGUGCUCUCUGUGUUCUGGCAUGUGGUCUUGGCACUAAAUGGGUACUGACAUCAGAUCCUUUGUCAUUGUUUUCUUAUCCGAUAUGAUCCUAUAUGUUCAACAUGAUUUCUUGAUUUAACUAGUUGCUAAGUUAGGCAGGUGUUCUUUCACCUUCUUUAGGCAUAUAACGUAAUUAUACUUGUUCUUUCAUUACAACACCAAUAAUCACUACACAAAUAACCUCAACAGACAACACUUUUUGCACAACGAAUAUUUUUUUUUUUGUUGUGUGAUGAGGGAAAUUGAAUCAUACAACACCUUUAAAAAACUUUCGUUGUAUAAGGCUAUUAAAAUUUUAAAGUUUUUAGCUAAAAGGUAAUUGCACAACACUUACAAGAAUAGUUUGUUGUGUGAAUGAAAAAAAAAAAGAGCGGCACAUUUUCCUCCUAGCUCGACGCAAAUAUGGCUCCAAAUUUGUACUACUUAGUACAACAGAAUAGUUAUAUCUGUUGUCUGAGUGUAGCUUCUAAAAUAUCAUACAACCGUUUUUUACUUUUCGUUGUAUGAUAAAGGAAGAUGUAUUAGGAAGAUUUGGAUGUGUCUAAAUUUGCCCCAAAAUGGCACCUAUUCCCCCCUAAAACCUACAAAUUUUGAUCGAGAUAUAUUUAGUGAUUGUAUGCUUCCACAACCAAAUUACUUAUUUGUAUUGUGUGAAUGAGUAAUUUCUAAACCUAGAGCCAAACUACAUGCUUUGAUUGUAUAGAGCGGGAACUUUCCCUCUUUGGAAUGUUUAAUUUUUACAUAAUCAGAUAACAUAACUUGUGUUUGUGUUGUCUGAUUCAUAAAUACAAAAGAAAAGAGAGCUAUCCCACUUGGAUAAAAACCCAAAUAUUGGGUCAGCUUCUUCGAGUCAUCUCCUCAAAGGCUCAGUCCCAACUCCUUAAACAGCCUUUCCCCAAUUGAUUCAAUUUGAAAUCUCAAAUCACCAAACCCAGACGUCUUCAUCUUCCGUUUUUCCUUAGUUUCCUUUUUGUUUCAAUUUACAGAAAUCCAAUCGAAGAUUAACUCCAUUCCCAAAUUUCCUUCUAAGCCCUAAUUUCUCUGAAUCCCAGUUUCCUUUCAAUUUCGAACCACCCCGUCGUCGUUACUGGGCCGCCGUCCUGCUCUGAACUGUCGCCCAACGGCUUACCCCCUGCCCUCUCCCGCGAGAUUCUAGUCUACCAUAGGCUAGAAUUUGAGGUCGAUGACGGCCUCCAUCAAACCCUUGCCGUCCGAUUUGGUCAAGAAGCUUCUCUUCCAGCUCUUGAAGGGCGUCGACGACUGUCAUGAUAACAGCAUCCUCACCGAAACCUAAACCUAAGAAUCUGCUGCUUGAUAAGAAACAACAGAGCCUCAAGAUCGGCGAUGGGAUCAGUCAGUCUUUCGCUUUCUUCUACGAGUCUUUUGUGCCGGAGGUUUUGCUUGGAUUCACAGAUUACUCGACUCCGAAGGACAUUUGGGCUGUCGGCUGCAUCUUCGCUGAGAUGGCAUGGUGACUGGGGAUGUACAGUUGAUUGGAAUUACUAAGAUUCUCCCAGGUGGGGCUUUGGGGAUUUGAAUAAAAACUCCUUUACUGGGAUUUAUAGCUUUCUAGCAAAUGGGUUCUUCAUGAAGCCCAGCAUCCUUCAUGGAACUUGUUCUUAGCAAAUGGGUUUGCACAUUUCUAUUAUGCUCUUGGCUCAUCUUCUCUCCAGUAUACUCAGUGGUGGGAUUACAUGGUGACUCUAAAGUGAGAGCAGUAUAUUUGGGAGGGUGGUUGGUAGUGGAAGGUUGGAUCAAGCCUUCACUUUUUGAUGGCAUUCCCAAUGGAGAUAUGCUUGAUGGAACAGUGGUACAACUAAAGUCGGUAACUUUGGAUAAGUAUGUCUUUGCAGAAAAUGGGGGAGGGGCCAAUGUCUCUGUUAGUAGAGAUGUUGCAUCUUCAUGGGAAACGCUGAGGGUUUGAGAAACAAGAUGGGGUUGUAUUGAUGGCUACUACUGGAAAUCUCAAGCAAAUUGAUGAUGCCUUAAAGUGGCCUGGUCGCAUGGAUAGAGUAUUUCAUCUUCAAAGGCCAACUCAAGCAGAAAGGGAGAAGAUACUACACAUAGCUGCAAAAGAAAAAAUGGAUAAUGAGCUCAUUGAUUUUGUAGACUGGAGAAAGGUUGCUGAAAAGACUGCUCUUUUAAGGCCUAUAGAAUUAAAGCUGGUACCUGCAUCGUUGGAAGGUAGUGCCUUUAGGAGCAAGUUUCUCGAUACAAAUGAGCUUAUGAGCUACAGUAGUUGGUUUGCGACUUUCAGCAGCAUUAUUCCAAAAGGAGUGCGGAAAACCAAAAUUGCAAAGAAGCUAAGCAAAAUGCUGGUAAAUCAUCUGGGGCUAACAUUGACUAAAGAAGACCGGCAGAGUGUGGUUGAUCUAAUGGAGCCAUAUGGUCAGAUAAGCAAUGGAAUAGAACUUUUAAACCCUCCUCUUGAGAUCAUGUUGUUCAAGUAAAGGACGGUGCAUGUAGUUGAUGCUGGAUAAAGACAGGUGGGGAACUAGAUUUGAUUCCAUGGCUAAACAAAUCAAAAUUUAACUCACCAAUAAUCACUUCAACUUUAUAGGUUUGACACUAUGGCUGCACAGACUAAGUUCCGGGAAUAGUGGGAAGACAAGAGUUUGUAUCAAUAUGUUGGCUGUAGAAACCAAGUUCCUGCACACACUAUAUGUGGCAUGUUUAAUUUGGAACAACGUAGUUGUAUCAGCUUUUGAUGUCCCAAGUAGAUGGCCAUGCAUUUGAAUACUUUUCUUCUAUUAAUGGUUGCUUGGAUGAUUGGGAAAUGCUCCCUUUUAACAUUUGAGAUAUAUGGAAUGGGUUUUUGAUUACUCAUUUGAGCA